GCUGAUGUAAAGAGAUCGGGCUGAUAUCUAGAACAACAUGAUGUCGGGCCAUCCAGUCCAUACCAAGGAUGACAUCUAUGCCGUCUAGGUCAAGGGUGAUAAGGUUUUCCUUGAAGAGGGUGGGACCUAGCUGGAGAGGUACAAGAAUAACGACCUGAUCCGACGUUAUCCUUCCUCCAGGAGUGGCAAUCACAUAGGAUUCCUUAGUGUGACCGACACUUAGC
rnacentral:lncRNA from 1 species